rnacentral:lncRNA from 1 species
CACGACCACCAUUUUUUUUUGAAACGGCCGUUAACGGCCUGUGGGCACGCGCCCCCCUCAGGGGCUUCUCCACAGGGAAUGUCGAGGCUCCGAGCUCCCUGAAACCACAAGGAAAAGCCCAAGGCUCCCCUUAGUUCCUGGCGGUGAAAAUGUGGAAUGGCUGUACUACAGUCUCAAGACUGUUUUGAAUUGUCCUGAAUGAGCUAGUCAGCAGAGUAAAAGCGAAGUCCUCUUUGGCUGCAGAAAAGAAAAGAAGUGAAGGCCCACUUCCUCUGGAUGGGAAGACAGAUGAUCAAGUGACAUCUGCACUAAGUCUAGCAGUUCUCACUCAGAGGAUUCUGUUGGUGCCUUAUCCGUCCUGGAUGAUGUAAAGAUUCUACAGAGAGUGCUAAGAACUUCAAGCAGGUAAGUGAUUCUGAGAAUGUGUGUCAGCCAGUGAAACUUGGACAAGCAUGUGUAUUUGGGAAGUUGUAGGGGCGGCUGCUGAACUACAGAGGCAAUUAGUCUGACCAGCUACGCAGAUCUCAGCAUCUUGGAGGUAAGCUGAGGAGAAGCUUCUACUUGUGAUUUCGCAGGCUUUGUGUACUAACCCACAGCAAAUAGGAAACAUGUAAUGCGUGCUUUCUAUAGUGUCUAUUUGCCUAUAACCUUU